rnacentral:lncRNA from 1 species
AUGUUAGAAGUCAGAGGUAUCUCAUCCAUCUUGGUGAUGUGGCUGGGCGCGGUUAUGUUGUCACGGCAGAUGGCCACCCUCUCCUGGUUAGGGUUAGGGUUAGGGAAGAUGGCCGCCCUCUCCUGGUUAGGGUUAGGGAAGAUGGCCACCCUCUCCUGGUUAGGGUUAGGGUUAGGGAAGAUGGCCACCCUCUCCUGGUUAGGGUUAGGGAAGAUGGCCGCCCUCUCCUGGUUAGGGUUAGGGUUAGGGAAGAUGGCUGCCCUCUCCUGGUUAGGGUUAGGGUUAGGGAAGAUGGCCACCCUCUCCUGGUUAGGGUUAGGGAAGAUGGCCACCCUCUCCUGGUUAGGGUUAGGGUUAGGGAAGAUGGCCACCCUCUCCUGGUUAGGGUUAGGGUUAGGGAAGAUGGCCACCCUCUCCUGGUUAGGGUUAGGGAAGAUGGCCACCCUCUCCUGGUUAGGGUUAGGGUUAGGGAAGAUGGCUGCCCUCUCCUGGUUAGGGUUAGGGUUAGGGUUAGAGGGUUAGGGUUAGGGAAGAUGGCCGCCCUCUCCUGGUAAUCCGCGGGCAGCCGCUGUGCAACAGUUGUCCUCGUGCGUAUGGAGUAAAAAGAUGCUGCCUCCUCAUAAAGCGAAAACACUAAGAUUGCUCGAUUGCCAUAUUCAGCCGCAUAUUUGAUGGCCUGCAGUUUAAAGUAAGCCUCAUUCAUACGCGUCUCGCUUGAACGGCACCAUUUUAGGGGAUCCUUACGCGUAGGUGUGCCGCUAAUCGAUUGGCGGAGCGUUUACCGUAGUGCACCCACCAAAGGGGCACAGCAGAUUUUGGAACUCAGUCCACACACAAGGCGCACCGUCGAUUUUUGAGAAAAUCUCAGUGUUUUAGGCGCCUUAUAGUCGUGAAAAUACGAUACGUUCUGAGAGGAGUCCUCAUGUGGUCCACAUGGGGGCGCUGUUGGACUUCUACUGGUGUGUGAGAACUCACACACCUAACCCUAAGUGACCAUAGAAUAAGCCCCCCCCCCCCCCCCCACACACACACACACACAC